rnacentral:rRNA from 1 species
GAUGAACGCUGGCGGCGUGCCUAAUACAUGCAGGUCGAGCGAACAGACGAGGAGCUUGCUCCUCUGACGUUAGCGGCGGACGGGUGAGUAACACGUGGAUAACCUACCUAUAAGACUGGGAUAACUUCGGGAAACCGGAGCUAAUACCGGAUAAUAUAUUGAACCGCAUGGUUCAAUAGUGGAAGACGGUUUUGCUGUCACUUAUAGAUGGAUCCGCGCCGCAUUAGCUAGUUGGUAAGGUAACGGCUUACCAAGGCAACGAUGCGUAGCCGACCUGAGAGGGUGAUCGGCCACACUGGAACUGAGACACGGUCCAGACUCCUACGGGAGGCAGCAGUAGGGAAUCUUCCGCAAUGGGCGAAAGCCUGACGGAGCAACGCCGCGUGAGUGAUGAAGGUCUUCGGAUCGUAAAACUCUGUUAUUAGGGAAGAACAAAUGUGUAAGUAACUAUGCACGUCUUGACGGUACCUAAUCAGAAAGCCACGGCUAACUACGUG